rnacentral:lncRNA from 1 species
GAGAAGGUCCUGGGCGCCUGUGGAGUGACCUCGUCCAGACCGCCGCAGACCCGAUCGGCAAGUUCUUGGAGGUGCAGGAAGGUUCUCCAAGGAGUAGGACCAGAAAGGGAUGAGAGCGCGAGCGCGGUUAAUGUCGAGGCUGCUAAGUGAUGCUCGUUAAUUUCGCAGCAGGGUGUGACUGGCCCAGCCUUGACUCUCAGUUUCCUCUCUCAGUAAAUGGGCAUAAUAAUACCGGUCCAGCCUACGCUGGAGAAUUGUGAGGUGAAAAUGAAAUAAGGUAUGCAAAGGUACUUUGUAAGUAUAAAGCCCAUUUGACUUGGUGGCUCAAGCCUGUAAUCCCAGCACUUUGGGAGGCCGAGGUGGGCGGAUCGCUUGAGCUCAGGAGUUCGACACCAGCCUGGGUAACAUAGUGAAACCCCGUCUCUACAAAAAAGACAAAAACUAAAUGGGCAUGUUGGCGCGCGCCUGUAGUCACAAAUGCUCGGGGGGCUGAGGUGGGAGGAUCGCUUGAACCUGGGGAGUUCAAGAUUGCAGUGAACCGUGAUCGCGCCGCUGCACUCCAGCCUCUGCAGUGAGAGCAAGACACUGUCUCAAAAAAAUGUAUUUAUCUAUCUACAUAGAUAAGAGUCCUAGAAAUCCGGGUGCAGGUCUGACUGUAGCUGGUGUAGGAAAGUCAGUUAUCCCCGACGCUGGAGCAAGCUAGGGGACCGCCCUUGCAGUUGUUGGAGGAGACAAAUUGGGAAGGACUUAAUUCCGGGCAAAGGAAGCUUCAUGAGUAAAAGUAGAAAGUGAAAAUGGUCAGGAAAAGCAAGGCUUGGGGCAGGGAGACCCAUUUUUAGGCCAUUGCAGUACUCCAGACAAGUGAUAAGAACAUUAAACAAGGCAUUGGCAGUGGGAAUAGAGGAGGGGAUAGAUGUUAGCGCCAUUAAGGUGGUAGAAUUCACAGCACUGAGUGCGGAUAAAUGAGUAGGCCAGGUUUCUAGCAUGAGUGCUGAGGUAGACAGUGGUAACAUUUAGCAAGAUGGCAAGCUACAUGAGUCUUGAUUAUCCACAAGUGUCUAAGUUACUAUUAUAGAUAGUGAUGGUGACAUUUCUUAGGAGGAUGACCAGAUAUGUGGAGUAUGAUGAUGAGUUCAAAUAUGGAUAUGUUUGUUAGGGAAACAUUUACUCUCCAUUCACAAUGUCUUUCUUCCAUAUGGAAUGAUAUCCAUUAGUGUAAUACUCUCCUGGUUUCUCUUAUACCUGUCUGCAACUCACUCUUGCCUAGAGGAGUGACUUCCUGAUUGGUGAACUUAAAUGGGAGAAACUGGACAUGUGGCAUCUAUCCCAUUCUUUUUCUCUUAAAAGAUAACUAUCUUCAGGGAACUGUCCUGGUGUUCUUUUCCGUUUCUUCUGGAGCAGGGCCUGUGGGUAGGGACAAGGGUGCCUAGUCCAGGGCUACAAAGAGAGUAUAUGUAUUUAAUUCCAGAGUUUGGCAUUAGGAAGCUGUCUGUCCACAGAUAAUAUUUAAUACCAGCUUUGUCAGCUGUGUUACACAGAAUAAUGAUCCCCCCCAACCAAAAAAAAAAGGAUGACCACACCCUAAUACUCAGAACCCAUGAAUAUGUUAUAUUAUGUGGCAAAAGGGACUUUGCAGAUAUGAUUAAAUGAUGUAUCUAGGGAGAUUAUCCUGGAUUGUCUGACUGGGCUGGAGGCAGGAGGGUCAGAGUCAGAGAAGGAGAUGUGAUGAUGGAAGCAGAGGUCAGACAGAGAUUUGAAGAUGCUAUACUGUUGGCUUUGAAGAUGGACCCAAGAAACGCAAGCAAAUUGUAGAUGCGGGAGAAGGCAAGGAAAUGGAUUCUUCUCUAGCACCCUAAGAACACAGCCCUGCCAACACCUUGAUUUUAGGACUUCUGACUUCUAGAACUGCGAGAUAAGAAACUUGUAUGUUUUAAGGUACCAAGUUUGUGCUAACUUGUUACAACAGCAAUAGGAAACUGAUACAGUCAGUAAUAAAGAUAAUAGUUGGUUUCCUGCAGCUUUCUCCAUUACCUGGAAAAGAAGGGUACAAUUCAGUAGGUCCCCUCAGAGACUAUAGCAAUAUGACUGUGACCUGAUGGAACCUCCACAUCUAGAGAAAAAUGUCCAAUAAACACUCAAACUGUACAGGUCUAUGAAUGAGGAAAGAGGUUGAGUUAAAAUAGAUUUGGAAGAAAUAAAUUAAUAAUUGGUAAUUUAAGCCCGAGGCAUGGAUGAGAUCAAUCAGGGAGAAAAUACAGAAGACAUAAUAAGGAGAGGCAAGGAUAGGGCCCCUGGAGAGCACUAACUUUAAAAGGAGGUGCAGAUGAUCAGAAGCCCAAAAAGAAGUCUGAGGAAGAAUGGCCAGAGAGAGAAAAGGAGAACUAGGUGAGCCUAAUGCCUCUGAAGCCAAGCAAGCAAGAUGGAGAGGGGUCAACAGAGUCAGAGACCACAAAAAGGCCAAGUAUAUCAAGAACUGGAAAGCAUUCACUGGAUUUAGCAACAGAAAAGUGAUUGGUAACCAACAAUAGCAAACUUCAGUGGGAUAGUGGAGAUAGAUACCAAAUCACUGAGAUCUGAAAGGCAGAUCAAUAUAGUGGAUUGGCCUCUAGACUAGUUUGAUGGGAGUUUUGAGAUUCUAGUCUUGAUUCUGGCCAUUAACUAGCUAGAUAACUUUGAACAAAUCCCUCAACUACUCCAGGCUUUGGUUUUCGCAUCUGGCAAAGGAUGAGAUCAAGCUGAGUCUAUGAUUUUCUCAUUAAUUCCUAGAUAAUCCCCCCAGUUUUAUUUUUUUAUUUUUUGUCAUAUCUGAUUCAAUACUUUUAUUUAUUUUUAUUUUUUAUUUUUGAGACAGCAUCUUGCUCUGUUGCCCAGUGUGGAGUGCAGUGGUACAAUCUUGGCUCACUGCAGCCUCAACCCCCGGGCUCAAUCACCCCAAUUUCAUAUCAGACUCACUUGCUUAUAACAGCACACUUCAAAUCCUUCUCAGACCAUUUUCCAACCACUAAGAAUCAGUAUAUUUCAUGCCAGCUUCUGUCCUAGAUACUAUGGCUAUAACACAGUUUUCAAGGAACUCACAAUUUGGAGAGAGAGAGAGAAAUACUAAGUAUGUAACUAGCUGUCAUAGUUCUUUAAAAAAAAAAAAAGAAAAAAAAGUAAGGCCAGGCGCGGUGGCUUAUGCCUGUAAUCCUAGCACUUUGGGAGGCCGAGGCGGGUAGAUCACCUGAGGUCAAGAGUUUGAGAUCAGCCUGACCAAUAUGAUGAAAACCCGUCUCUACUGAAAAUACAAAAAUUAGCCGGGCAUGGUGGCAUAUGCCAUCAUCCCAGCUACUCAGGAGGCUGAGACAGGAGAAUCACUUGAAUCCGGGAGGCAGAGGUUGUGUAGAGCCAAGAUCUCGCCAUUGGACUCCAGCCUGGGCAACAAGAGCAAAACUCUGUCUCAAAAAAAAAAUUAAAAUAAGUAAAUAAAUAAAAAUAAAAAAUAAUAAGAUAGACCUGAUUGUGGUGGCUCAUGCCCCGUAAUCCCAGUGCUUUGGAAGGCCAAAAUGGGAAGAUCACCUGAGGCCAGGAGUUUGAGACCAGCCUGGGCAAUAUAGCCAGACACCCAUCUCUACAAAAAUUUUCUAAAAAUUAGCCAGGUGUGGUGGUGCGCACCUGCAGUUCUAACUACUUGGGAGGCUGAGGCAAGAGGAUUGGGUGAGCCCAGGAGUUUGAGGUUACAGUGAGCUAUUACCAGAUUACAGUGAGCUAUGACUGUGCCAGUGCACUUCAGCCUGGGCAACAGAGCAAGACCCUAAAAGCUAGAUAUAAAUAUAUUGUAAGUAUAAUACAAUAUACUAUAACAGAAUCUGUAUGAAGUGAAAUGAGGGAUAUAUAAAGUGAUACAGAUAAGGGCGCAGUUAGCUCUAUCUAAUGGAAGUCAAGAGUGUUGUACUUACCUACACUGUUAAGUAAACACAGUAUGCCUCAAAAAUGGACACAAAUAUAUUAAGGCAUUUCCAUGGAGGUAAAAAAAGAACAGGAGAAUUGUGCUAAACCAGCGUUGUCACCUAACAUUCCUUCUAGGUAGUUUUGUUGUGAUCUAAAUGAAUAUUUAUAUAUAACUGUUUCUAAACUAAAAUUGGUUAGUUGUUAAAAUGGACACAAAUAAAAGUUAAAUGCAAGAAUAAUUUAUAUUUUUCCAGUAGAUUCAAGAGGAAAUAUUUUUUGUCACUAAUGCCAUGCUUUAAUACAUUUGCUUGUCUAAUCCUCAUGUAUUAUCUUACUUAAUUUUGUAAACAUUAGCUUAUUGUAUAGAUCACUGACAAAGUAUCUGUUUUAGCAGAUAGGGACAAAGUUUAAAUAAUUUGGCCAAGGUCAUAGUAGACCAAGAUUUGGACCCAGCACAAGCAUCCUCUUUCCAGGAAACCUUCCCUCAGGCCCUUAGUUGGUUUAAGUGCCCUCUCUCUGUACUAUUAGCAUAUGCACACACAUUCAUUUUAGCGUUGACUUUAAUAAUAAGGAUGUUUACCAUGUACCAGAUACAUAGUACUUGCACCUAUGUUAUCUAUGUUUAAGUGUUUUGUAGGCAUUAGUUCAUUUAAGCCUCAUAACUGCCCUUUGAAGUAGGUGAUAUUAUUCACAAUAUUUUAUAAAACAGGAAGCCAAGGCAUAGAAAGUUAAGUAAUUACUCAAGGUACAAUUAAUAAGUGAUAAAGCUAGGAUUCGAAUCCAUGCUUUUAACCCCCCAGGCUUCAUACUAUGUACCCUUUCCCUUAUACUGAGGAAUUCUAGAAGGCAUAGUUGACAGGUUGUUGUGUGUGAUAUCACUCUGUGUUCCUCAUAUGAACACAAGAGAAUUUUCUCUCUGAGCCACAAGUCAUGAAAUAUUUGGCUACCCUUGAGUAACUGAUGUGUUUUCUCUUUAUAGGCAAUGUGAAUUAUAUAACUGCCUGUUUUUCACUUUUCACUUUGCCAAGAAGCUCUGAGUAAAUUUGUUGGCUCAGCGUUUGUAAGUGGGUGAAUUGGCCUGCAUAUCUGUAUUCUGUUGCUUUGAAAUUUUUAAAAAUAAAUAGUUGAGAGAAAAAUAAUGUAAAUUUUCUUUAUUUUCCAAAUUGUUGACAAUGUACAAUGAUAAUUUUUAUAAUUAGAAAAAUAAACUUUGUUCUUA